rnacentral:ribozyme from 1 species
UGCCCAACAACUGCUAUCCAUACCUCCUCGCGGUACUGGCCGGGAUACGAGUAACCUUAGGGAAGAUCGGGUAACCAAUCCCGGUGGGAGCUCUGGUCGUAUGCUGACAGGAAAGG